GACGAACGCUGGCGGCGUGCCUAAUACAUGCAAGUAGAACGCUGAAGGAGGAGCUUGCUCUUCUGGAUGAGUUGCGAACGGGUGAGUAACGCGUAGGUAACCUGCCUGGUAGUGGGGGAUAACUAUUGGAAACGAUAGCUAAUACCGCAUAAUAACAGUUGUUGCAUGACAACUGUUUGAAAGGUGCAAUUGCAUCACUACCAGAUGGACCUGCGUUGUAUUAGCUAGUUGGUGGGGUAACGGCUCACCAAGGCGACGAUACAUAGCCGACCUGAGAGGGUGAUCGGCCACACUGGGACUGAGACACGGCCCAGACUCCUACGGGAGGCAGCAGUAGGGAAUCUUCGGCAAUGGACGAAAGUCUGACCGAGCAACGCCGCGUGAGUGAAGAAGGUUUUCGGAUCGUAAAGCUCUGUUGUAAGAGAAGAACGAGUGUGAGAGUGGAAAGUUCACACUGUGACGGUAUCUUACCAGAAAGGGACGGCUAACUACGUGC
rnacentral:rRNA from 1 species